AUGCACGCUGGCGGCGUGCCUAAUCCAUGCAAGUCGAGCGAACAGAUAAGGAGCUUGCUCCUUUGACGUUAGCGGCGGACGGGUGAGUAACACGUGGGUAACCUACCUAUAAGACUGGGAUAACUUCGGGAAACCGGAGCUAAUACCGGAUAACAUUUGGAACCGCAUGGUUCUAAAGUGAAAGAUGGUUUUGCUAUCACUUAUAGAUGGACCCGCGCCGUAUUAGCUAGUUGGUAAGGUAACGGCUUACCAAGGCAACGAUACGUAGCCGACCUGAGAGGGUGAUCGGCCACACUGGAACUGAGACACGGUCCAGACUCCUACGGGAGGCAGCAGUAGGGAAUCUUCCGCAAUGGGCGAAAGCCUGACGGAGCAACGCCGCGUGAGUGAUGAAGGGUUUCGGCUCGUAAAACUCUGUUAUUAGGGAAGAACAAACGUGUAAGUAACUGUGCACGUCUUGACGGUACCUAAUCAGAAAGCCACGGCUAACUACGUG
rnacentral:rRNA from 1 species